CUUCCGCGCAUUAUUACUCACGGUACGAGUUUGAAGUGGCACAGCGCGUACCAAAAGUAAUAAUGGGCGGCAG